rnacentral:antisense_RNA from 1 species
CUUCAACGACCCCAACCAAAGCGGCCGUUCCUCGGGCCGGCCCUCCCCGUAUGCCGCGAUUAGCGCCUGCGCCUC